rnacentral:rRNA from 1 species
AGUGAACGCUGGCGGCAGGCCUAACACAUGCAAGUCGAACGGCAGCACAGAGGAGCUUGCUCCUUGGGUGGCGAGUGGCGGGCGGGUGAGGAAUGCGUCGGCAUCUGCCUUUGUGUGGGGGAUAACGGAGGGAACCUUACGCUAAUCCUGCAUACGACAUACGGGUGAAAGUGGGGGACCGAAAGGCGCCACGCAGAAAGACGAGCCGACGCAGGAUUAGCUAGUUGGCGGGGUAAAGGCCCACCAAGGCGACGAUGCGUAGGUGGUCUGAGAGGAUGAUCAGCCACACGGGUACGGAGACACGGCGCAGACUCCUACGGGAGGCAGCGGUGGGGAAUAUUGGACAAGGGGCGCAAGCCUGUUCCAGCCAUGCGGCGUGAGUGAAAAACGCCUUCGGGUUGUAAAGCGCUUAUGUCAGGGAAGAAACGCUCUGGGUUAAUACCCUAGGGUAAUGACGGUACCUGAAGAAUAAGCACCGGCUAACUACGUGCCAGCCGCCGCGGUAA